rnacentral:lncRNA from 1 species
AAGGAGAUUAUCGAAGGUUUGAGGUAGGGUACGAGAGAAUUGUGGACAGAGAAGAUCAGAGUGUACAUGAGAUUUUUCUUUUACGCUAGGUUGUAUUCCUUUAGCGGGGUGGAAGACUGGGGUUAGAAGUAUUGGAUUGGUUUGUAAUUAAUGAUGGUAAAUCUAGUGGGUUGGAGUGGCCUUUUGAGGAGAUGAAAAUUGAGGAGGUGUUUUUUCAUUGUGAAAGGGACAAGGGUCUGUGGCCAUAUGGUUGUACCAUGGCUGUCUUUGAAUAUUGUUGGGACAUUUUUA